GUAGUCUCGCACAGAUGCAUAUCAAUAAGCGGAGGAAAAGAAACUAACAAGGAUUCCCUCAGUAACGGCGAGUGAAGCGGGAAGAGCUCAAAUUUGAAAUCUUGAAAGGUCACCUUUCACGGAUUGUAGUUUAAAGAAGUGUUUUCUGUUACGAUCGUAAUAUAAGUUCUUUGGAAUAGGACAUCACAGAGGGUGAGAAUCCCGUCUAUGACUUGCGAUUUGUAGCUUUGUGAUACACUUUCAAAGAGUCAGGGUUGUUUGGGAAUGCAGCCCAAAACGGGAGGUAAAUUUCUUCUAAGGCUAAAUAUUGGCGAGAGACCGAUAGCGAACAAGUACCGUGAGGGAAAGAUGAAAAGAACUUUGAAAAGAGAGUUAAAUAGUACGUGAAAUUGUCAAAAGGGAAGCGUUUAACACCAGUGUUGUUUUCUGAAAAUCAACCUCUGUUAGCUUUAUGCAUGUUUGUUUAGACCUAAUCAGCUAUCUUGCAUGUUCUAUUGUUUGCAGUGGUGCACUUUUCAGUUUACAGGUCAACAUCAGUUUUUUUUACCGUAAAAAAGUUAAAGAAAGGUAGCUCAUGGCUCCGGUCGUGAGUGUUAUAGUCUUUUUCCUAUGCGGUAGGAGAGACUGAGGUCUGCAGUGUAGGCUAUUUGGCUAGAUACUCAGGCGCUAUGUGAUACCAUUUCAUAAACAACUUGUUGAUUAUGUUUUGUCUAUUGCAUACUCGCCUGUACUAUCAUACCUACGCUUAGGAUGUUGAAGAUGUAGCACAUCAU
rnacentral:rRNA from 1 species